rnacentral:rRNA from 1 species
GUGGGGAAUCUUGCGCAAUGGGCGAAAGCCUGACGCAGCCAUGCCGCGUGGAUGAUGAAGGUCUUAGGAUUGUAAAAUCCUUUCACCGGUGAAGAUAAUGACUGUAGCCGGAGAAGAAGCCCCGGCUAACUUCGUGCCAGCAGCUGCGGUAAUACGAAGGGGGCUAGCGUUGCUCGGAUUUACUGGGCGUCAAGGGCGCGUAGGCGGACAUUUAAGUCAGGGGUGAAAUCCCGGGGCUCAACCUCGGAACUGCCGUUGAUACUGGGUGUCUUGAGUAUGAGAGAGGGGUGUGGAACUCCGAGUGUAGAGGUGAAAUUCGUAGAUAUUCGGAAGAACACCAGUGGCGAAGGCGACACACUGGCUCAUUACUGACGCUGAGGCACGAAAGCGUGGGGAGCAAACAGGAUUAGAUACCCGUGUAGUCC